GGAGAGGCGGGACUUCCGGUCGGCGCCGCCUGCGAAGUGCUCCGCGGCCGGCGGAGACGCGGGCAGCCAGCGAUGGCCGCGGAGGGGGCGAACUGGGUUCCGGCCCUCGGAGGCUGACGGAAGGCGGUGGCUGAGGAGCGGCGCCUCUGGUUGAGCGCUCGCCGUGUGUCCCGCACCUGUCUGUCCUGCCGCCGCCCGCACAGCACAGCACCGCACAUCUCCAGUCGGACUGGCUACAUUUCAAGGGCUCAACCAUCACGCGUUACCAGUGGCUACUGCAUCAGACUGUGCAGUGCUAGAUGGGGAGUCAGAAGAGAAACCAAGUGAUUUCCAUGUCAAGUGGUGAACAGGCUAAGAAGAAAAGUCCACUUACAGCUGGAUUUACUUCCACCUCUGCCACCUGUGAGACAGCGAGACCAACCCCUCCUCCUCCUCUUCCUAGCCUACUCCGAGUGAAGAUGAUGAAGAUGAAGACCGUUAUGAUCCACUUCCACUUAAUGAAAGAUGAAUAUAUUUUCUCUUCCUAAUGAUUUUUUUUUUUUUUUUUUUGGAGACAGAGUCUCGCUGCAUCCCCCAGGCUGGAGUACAGUGGUAUGAUCUUGGCUCACUGCAACCUCUGCCUCCUAGGUUCAAGUGAUUCUCCUGCCUCAGUCUCCCGAGUAGCUGGGAUUACAGGCGCCCACCACCAUGCCCGGCUAAUUUUUGUAUUUUUAGUAGAGAUGGGGUUUCACUAUGUUGGCCAGGCUGGUCUCAAACUCCUGACCUCAGGUGAUCUGCCUGACUUGGCCUCCCAAAGUGCUGGGAUUACAGGCAUGAGCCACCUUGCCUGGCCUCUUCCUAAUGAUUUUUUAAAGUACAUCUUGUUUUCUCUGUCUUACUUUAUCAUAAAAAUAUAUGAUACAAAUAAAAUACAGAAUAUGUGUUAAUGGACUGUGUAUGUUAUGAGUAAGCCUUCCAGUCGACAGUGGGCUAUUAUUGGUGGUUAAGUUUUGGGGGAGUGUGUGUUCAAGGGUCAACCGCACUUCCUGAGGGCACUGUGAGAACUAAGUUAAAUAACCCACUUUUACAAUCUUUGGAACCGGGGGCAGGUGGCUGGGGCUCACACCUGUAAUUACAGCACUUUGGGAGGCUGAGGCAGGAAGAUCCCUUGAGGCCAAGAGUUUGAGACCAGCCUGGGCAACAAAGCAAGACUCUGUCUCUACAAAAAUUUU
rnacentral:lncRNA from 1 species